AUUGAACGCUGGCGGCAGGCUUAACACAUGCAAGUCGAACGAGUGGCGGACGGGUGAGUAAUGCUUGGGAAUCUCGCUUAUGGAGGGGGAUAACUACGGGAAACUGUAGCUAAUACCGCGUACCAUAGGAUGAGCCCAAGUGGGAUUAGGUAGUGGGUGAGGUAAAGGCCCACCAAGCCGACGAUCCCUAGCUGGUCUGAGAGGAUGACCAGCCACACUGGGACUGAGACACGACCCAGACUCCUACGGGAGGCAGCAGUGGGGAAUAUUGGACAAUGGGGGAAACCUGACGCAGCCAUGCCGCGUGAGUGAAGAAGGUCUUCGGGUUGUAAAGUUCUUUCGGUAGGGAGGCGUUAACUACAGAAGAAGCACCGGCUAACUCCGUGCCAGCCGCCGCGGUAAUAC
rnacentral:rRNA from 1 species